rnacentral:lncRNA from 1 species
GUCCCCGUUCCCUCCGGGUCCUCCGCGCACCGCGGCUCCCGGCAGCGCGAGGGCGGCCGGCCAGAGCGGUUUCAAACUUCGAAAACUGCGCUCUGAUCGCGGGAACGUACAGACUCGUGCCGCCUCGAGUCCGAUUCUCGGAGCAGGUGUCAGGCGCCCGGCUACUGCUGUGCUGUGGGCACGGCCCGUGACGGUUCUGACGAGCAGCUGGGUAGGGCUCCGGGGGCUGCAGCCACCGAGCUCAGUAACUUCCUUUAAAAGCAACAUAAACAGCACAAAAUUAGACUGUUUUGUGGAAGCAGAAAUGCUUGGUAGUGGUAGGACUCUGUGCGCUUGCCUAGCAUGCCAUUGCAAGGACAAUCAGCAUGGAAAACCAGGACUUUGAGCUCUGCAUCUCUGCUUGAUCUUGACUUGCUGGUUGAUACCAGGAGCUGCUUCCCAGAUCCUCUUGAUUCGGUUCGAGAAGUUAGAAUUACCUGUAAUCAUUGGUAAACCAAAAGUCCCGAAUGGAGAACAAUGACAGGCGCCUACCGAGAAGGAGAAUCCCGAGGGUCCCGUUUCGGUUACGCAGUGAGAGAGCAGAGGGUGGGAGAGAGCUUGCAAGGUCAUCUCUGUUUGGAAGCAGUUCUCUUGGCCUUUAGCCCUCCCCUCAGCAGCUGACUUCCAAAUGCAGCUGCAUACAUGUGUGCAGCCCUGGCACACCUGGGAAUGGGAUAACCAUGCUGGGUAGAGCAAAGGGCUGGAGAGUGAUGCUACCAAGGCAUAUAGAACCUUCGCAAGAGAGCCCAUUUUGGGAUGUGGAGGCAAUAUUGUGGGUCUGAGAGAAUGCAGGACUAAGUCCCUGUAGAAUUCUGAUUGUGGUAUUGGCU